rnacentral:rRNA from 1 species
GAUGAACGCUAGCGACAGGCCUAACACAUGCAAGUCGAGGGGCAGCACAUGAGUAGCAAUACGAUGGUGGCGACCGGCGCACGGGUGAGUAACACGUAUGCAACCUGCCUUCUACUAUGGGAUAACCCGUUGAAAGACGGACUAAUACCGUAUAAUACAGGGGCUCCGCAUGGAGAUAUUUGUUAAAGAUUUAUUGGUAGAAGAUGGGCAUGCGUAUGAUUAGAUAGUUGGUGAGGUAACGGCUCACCAAGUCAACGGUCAUUAGGGGUUCUGUGAGGAAGGGCCCCCACACUGGGACUGAGGAACGGACCAGACUCCUACGGGAGGCAGCAGUGAGGAAUAUUGGUCAAUUGACGGGAGUCUGAACCAGCCAAGUCGCGUGAAGGAAGACGGUUCUAUGAAUUGUAAACUUCUUUUGUGCAGGAAUAAAGUGGGUUACGUGUAACCUUUUGUUUGUACUGUACGAAUAAGGAUCGGCUAACUCCGUGCCAGCCGCCGCAGUAAAAC